GGACUACUGGGGUAUCUAAUCCUGUUUGCUCCCCACGCUUUCGCGUCUCAGCGUCAGCAACGGUCCAGAGGGCCGCCUUCGCCGCCGGUAUUCCUCCUGAUAUCUACGCAUUUCACCGCUACACCAGGAAUUCUACCCUCCUCUACCGCGCUCUAGCUGGCCAGUUUCGGAUGCACUUCCGGAGCUAAGCCCCGGGCUUUCACACCCGACUUAACCAACCGCCUACACGCCCUUUACGCCCAGUCAAUCCGAACAACGCUUGCACCCUCCGUCUUACCGCGGCGGCUGGCAC
rnacentral:rRNA from 1 species